AUACGUAGGGGGCAAGCGUUAUCCGGAUUUACUGGGUGUAAAGGGAGCGUAGACGGCAAAGCAAGUCUGAAGUGAAAGCCCCGGGCUCAACCCGGGAAUUGCUUUGGAAACUGUUUAGCUGGAGUGCAGGAGAGGUAAGCGGAAUUCCUAGUGUAGCGGUGAAAUGCGUAGAUAUUAGGAGGAACACCGGCGGCGAAGGCGGCUUACUGGACGUAAACGAACGUUGAGGCUCGAAAGCGUGGGGAGCAAACAGGAUUAGAUACCCUGGUAGUCCACGCCGUAAACGAUGAUUACUAGGUGUUGGUUGUCGUAGACAAUCGGUGCCGCAGCAAACGCAAUAAGUAAUCCACCUGGGGAGUACGUUCGCAAGAAUGAAACUCAAAGGAAUUGACGGGG
rnacentral:rRNA from 1 species